rnacentral:ribozyme from 15 species
GAUGAAAUUUCAUGCUGUUAUUUUUUUUUUUCUCUUAUUGUUUUUUUAUGGCACCUUUUGCUUACUUCUCUUGAAUUGAAUUGAAUUGAAAUAAACUCAGCAGCGCCCACAGCCGCUGUUUUUGCUAAGCGAGAAUGAAAAAUCAAUCAAUCCAAAUCC